rnacentral:rRNA from 1 species
UUACUUGGGAUUAGAUACCCCACUAUGCCUAGCCCUAAACAUCGAUACUAACAUACCUAUUUUAUCCGCCAGGGUACUACGAGCAUCAGCUUAAAACCCAAAGGACUUGGCGGUGCUUUAGAUCCACCUAGAGGAGCCUGUUCUAGAACCGAUAAUCCCCGUUAAACCUCACCUUUUCUUGCCAUAUCCGCCUAUAUACCGCCGUCGUCAGCUUACUCUGUGAGGAGCUUGUAGUAAGCACAACCGGCACAGCCCAAAACGUCAGGUCGAGGUGUAGCGAAUGGAAAGGGAAGAAAUGGGCUACAUUCAAUAUUUUUAAUGAAUACGGAUGAUGCCUUGAAAAAGGCAUCUGAAGGAGGAUUUAGCAGUAAGCAGGGAAUAGAGUGCCCUGCUGAAAUUGGCCCUGAAGCGCGUACACACCGCCCGUCACUCUCCCCGAGCUAAUAAACACUAAUUACUAAUAAGCGAAACCUGCAAAGGGGAGGCAAGUCGUAACAUGGUAAGUGUACCGGAAGGUGCGCUUGG